rnacentral:rRNA from 1 species
UACGUAGGGGGCAAGCGUUGUCCGGAAUUAUUGGGCGUAAAGCGCGCGCAGGCGGUCAUUUAAGUCUGGUGUUUAAGCCCGGGGCUCAACCCCGGUUCGCAUCGGAAACUGGAUGACUUGAGUGUAGGAGAGGAAAGUGGAAUUCCAGGUGUAGCGGUGAAAUGCGUAGAUAUCUGGAGGAACACCGGUGGCGAAGGCGGCAUCCUGGACCGGUAUUGACGCUGAGGCGCGAAAGCUAGGGGAGCAAACGGG